UCCGAGCGUCAUUACAACCCUCAAGCCCGGCUUGGUGUUAGGUGCCGUCCCGUGGGACGCACCUGCAAACGAGCGGCGGCACCGCCGGCGAUUCGAGCGUAGUAACAAGCUCCCGCUUGACGUCGCCCGGCGGUUCCCGCCGGAUAACCCCAUUUUUAAUGGUUGACCUCGGAUCAGGUAGGGAUACCCGCUGAACUUAA
rnacentral:misc_RNA from 1 species